GUGAAUCAUCGAAUUUUUGAACGCAAAUUGCACUCUCCGCUGAGGGUAUGCCUGUUUGAGUGUCAGCCUAUUAAAAAUCGACAUCGUUGCUGUUUCGCGGUGGCGUUCGUCGGAAAUUGGGUCAUCUUAAAUCCUUUUGAUUUAAGCGACUUAAACUUUUCUUUUAGUUCCAUGAACGUUUCUAAGAUCUAUUUCUUUCCACGUGUGAGGUAUCGAUUUUUACUAGACGACAC
rnacentral:misc_RNA from 1 species